CCUACGGGAGUCAGCAGUAGGGAAUCUUCCACAAUGGGCGAAAGCCUGAUGGAGCAACGCCGCGUGGGUGAAGAAGGUCUUCGGAUCGUAACACCCUGUUGUUAGAGAAGAAAGUGCGUGAGAGUAACUGUUCACGUUUCGACGGUAUCUAACCAGAAAGCCACGGCUCACUACGUGCCAGCAGCCGCGGUAAUACGUAGGUGGCAAGCGUUAUCCGGAGUUAUUGGGCGUAAAGGGAACGCAGGCUGUCUUAUAAGUCUGAUGUGAAAGCCUUCGGCUUAACCGGAGUAGUGCAUUGGAGACUGGGAGUCUUGAGUGCAGAAGAGGAGAGUGGAACUCCAUGUGUAGCGGUGAGAUGCGUAGAUAUAUGGAAGAACACCAGUGGCGAAAGCGGCUCUCUGGUCUGUAACUGACGCUGAGGUUCGAAAGCGUGGGUAGCAAACAGGAUUAGAUACCCCUGUAGUC
rnacentral:rRNA from 1 species